rnacentral:rRNA from 1 species
UGGGGAAUAUUGGACAAUGGGCGCAAGCCUGAUCCAGCCAUGCCGCGUGAGUGAUGAAGGCCUUAGGGUUGUAAAGCUCUUUUGCCGGGGACGAUAAUGACGGUACCCGGAGAAUAAGUCCCGGCUAACUUCGUGCCAGCAGCCGCGGUAAUACGAAGGGGACUAGCGUUGUUCGGAAUCACUGGGCGUAAAGCGCACGUAGGCGGAUAUGUCAGUCAGGGGUGAAAUCCCGGGGCUCAACCUCGGAACUGCCUUUGAUACAGCAUGUCUUGAGUCCGAUAGAGGUGGGUGGAAUUCCUAGUGUAGAGGUGAAAUUCGUAGAUAUUAGGAAGAACACCGGUGGCGAAGGCGGCCCACUGGAUCGGUACUGACGCUGAGGUGCGAAAGCGUGGGGAGCAAACA